rnacentral:lncRNA from 1 species
GGCCAACUGUUCCCUCAGUGAGCAAUGUUGGGACUACCUUUCUGAAGUUCUUAGGCAGAACAAAACUCUGAGCCAUCUAGACAUCAGCUCCAAUGACCUGAAGGAUAAAGGACUGAAGAUUCUCUGUAGGGCUCUGACUCUCCCAUACUGUGCCCUGAAGUCACUAUAAGAGUAACCACUGUAUUAUGAUUUUUCUCUUGAAGUUUGAACAAUUGUCAAAUCACCGCAAGGGGCUGCCAGGACCUGGCUAAAGUCCUGAGGAACAACCAGAACCUGAAGUGCUUACACAUUUCAAACAAUAAGCUAAAAGACGCUGGUUUGAUGCUGCUGUGUAAGGCUAUAAAACAUCCCAACUGCCACUUAGAGGAUCUACGAUUGGAAGCCUGUGAGAUAACUGGUGCCAGUAAUGAGGACCUUCGUUAUGCUUUUAUGCAGUGUGAGACCUUGCAGAUGAUCAACCUAAUGGGGAAUGCCUUAGAAGUCAGUAGGAUGAUUUUCUUUCCGAGAAGAGUGAAUUAAUGCUGUUUAUUUUUUCUCCAUCUUUCUAGAUUGUGGAUUACUGACUUUGAUAAUGAAUUCCAGGCAAUUUUGCUUUCUGAGAAAUGAAAAAAAAUCACUUCUUGACCAUCAGAAGCAGUGUAGAAGCAGAUGCAGAAAACAAGGAUGGAAAUUCUGAUGCAAGAACCAUGGGUGAACAGUCCAAUGAGAUAUGGUUUCUUUAUACCUUAUUCAGAUGUGUUUUGCAAGAGAGAUAUGGCUUUUUGUUUGCACUACAGUUUCAGAGAGGUCAUUCAAAGAUAUUCAUGCGAAAAUGACUACAUUAUAAUGACUUCUUUCCCUACACAAGUUUCUUAACACUCAAUAAAAUGUUAAGUAUCUUUAAAUAAUGUUUUAGAAUCUCUUAAUAAGAGUUUUGGCUUUUGUUGGAUUACUGGAGUUAAAGUGUAGGACCAGGCAAUAAUGUUAUCCAAAAAGUUUUUGGGGAAAUUUUAUUUGGCUAUGCAUGAGAAGCCUUCAGCAGAGGGGCAUAGACUGGAUACUCAGAUGAUGGAAAUUUCUGCUGUUUUGUGUUUUGCAUUAAAGAAUAACAGUCAUUU